rnacentral:rRNA from 1 species
AUACGGAGGAUCCGAGCGUUAUCCGGAUUUAUUGGGUUUAAAGGGUGCGCAGGCGGCCAUUUAAGUCAGCGGUUAAAUCGUGGGGCUCAACCCCAUUCUGCCGUUGAUACUGGGUGGCUUGAUUGCGGUCGAGGUUGGCGGAAUUCGUUGUGUAGCGGUGAAAUGCAUAGAUAUGACGAAGAACACCGAUUGCGUAGGCAGCUGACCAGACCGCAAAUGACGCUCAUGCACGAAAGUGCGGGGAUCGAACAGGAUUAGAUACCCUGGUAGUCCGCACAGUAAACGAUGAAUACUUGUUUUCGGCGAUAUAACGUCGGAGGCAAAGCGAAAGCGAUAAGUAUUCCACCUGGGGAGUACGCCGGCAACGGUGAAACUCAAAUGAAUUGACGGGG